rnacentral:rRNA from 1 species
UACGGGAGGCAGCAGUGGGGAAUAUUGCACAAUGGGCGCAAGCCUGAUGCAGCCAUGCCGCGUGUAUGAAGAAGGCCUUCGGGUUGUAAAGUACUUUCAGUCGUGAGGAAGGUGUUAAGGUUAAUAACCUUAACAAUUGACGUUAGCGACAGAAGAAGCACCGGCUAACUCCGUGCCAGCAGCCGCGGUAAUACGGAGGGUGCGAGCGUUAAUCGGAAUUACUGGGCGUAAAGGGCACGCAGGCGGUUAAUUAAGUUGGAUGUGAAAUCCCCGGGCUUAACCUGGGAAUGGCAUUCAAGACUGGUUAGCUAGAGUCUUGUAGAGGGGGUAGAAUUCCAUGUGUAGCGGUGAAAUGCGUAGAGAUGUGGAGGAAUACCGGUGGCGAAGGCGGCCCCUGGACAAAGACUGACGCUCAUGUGCGAAAGCGUGGGGAGCAAACAGGGAUUAGAUACC